rnacentral:rRNA from 1 species
AUUGAACGCUGGCGGAAUGCUUUACACAUGCAAGUCGAACGGUAGAGGGGGCAACCCCUCGAGAGUGGCGAACGAGUGAGUAAUAUAUCGGAACGUGCCCAGUCGUGGGGGAUAACGUAGCGAAAGUUACGCUAAUACCGCAUACGAUCUAAGGAUGAAAGCGGGGGAUCGCAAGACCUCGCGCGAUUGGAGCGGCGGAUAUCAGAUUAGGUAGUUGGUGGGGUAAAGGCUCACCAAGCCAAGGAUCUGUAGCUGGUCUGAGAGGACGACCAGCCACACUGGAACUGGGACACGGUCCAGACUCCUACGGGAGGCAGCAGUGGGGAAUUUUGGACAAUGGACGCAAGUCUGAUCCAGCCAUUCCGCGUGCAGGAUGAAGGCCCUCGGGUUGUAAACUGCUUUUGUACGGAACGAAAAGGUCUCUCUUAAUACGGGGGGCUCAUGACGGUACCGUAAGAAUAAGCACCGGCUAACUACGUGCCAGCCGCCGCGGUAA